UGAACGCUGGCGGCGUGCCUAACACAUGCAAGUCGAACGAGAACGGGUAUAAGUUUACUUAUACUGUCAGCUAAGUGGCGCACGGGUGAGUAAUAUAUAGUUAACCUGCCCCAAAGAAGAGAAUAAUUGUUGGAAACGACUUGUAAUGCUCUAUAUGCCUUUAUCACAUAAGUGAGCAAGGGAAACAUUUAUGGCUUUGGGAUGGGACUGUACGGUAUCAGUUUGUUGGUGAGGUAAUGGCUCACCAAGACUAUGACGCCUAACUGGUUUGAGAGGAUGAUCAGUCAAACUGGAACUGAGACACGGUCCAGACUCCUACGGGAGGCAGCAGUGGGGAAUAUUGCACAAUGGAGGAAACUCUGAUGCAGCAACGCCGCGUGGAGGAUGACACAUUUCGGUGCGUAAACUCCUUUUAUAUGAGAAGAUAAUGACGGUAUCAUAUGAAUAAGCACCGGCUAACUCC
rnacentral:rRNA from 1 species